rnacentral:sRNA from 1 species
UUACUAGCUGCAAGCCUCUGCCUGCCUUCCUGCGCGCCGUUCCCCGCUAGUCGCUGCUGCUGGCGCGCACUCGCCGGGUUUUUCCUCCCACGGCCUCGAGAUGGUCGUGAAUGUGGCACGGAGGAGCCGGGCCUUCCAACCCGGUGGGCCCGAGCUCCGAAAGGCCCCCUCGGCAGUGAGAGGGGCGGGAGCCCGCGGGGGCCGCGCCCUUCUCUCGCUUCGGACUGCGCAACGCUGCGCUCUGUGCUGACAGGCGGAUAAAACGGUCCCAUCAAGGCUGAGAAAAAGCACACCAGAUAUUGGCACAGCGUGGGCAGUGGGGCCUACAGGAUGACUUAGUCUACAGAGAUCCCGGCGUACUUAAGCAGAUGAAGACUCUUAAGAUGACAGAAGGUGAUUUUUCUGGUGAUCGAGGAGUUCCGGGGUCAUGACAGUGAUGAAAUGCAGGGGACCUGGUAGGUUUCUUUUGGAGACUGACUGGGGGCUGCCUGGUGGGACAGAACAGCAUGUUUCCAAGGGCUGUGGCUGGUCAUAGCCAUGGGAUCUCCAACUGCAUGCAAGAGCAACCUGGAAAGACUUUGACAGCGCAGGUCAGUACAAUACCUGCAAGCUGCCACUCAGCUUUCCUAUAAUGUUUCAGGACCAGGGCUGGAAGCCUUCCAUGUGUCAACUUCAAUGUAGAUGGGUUUUUUUUUUUUUUUUUUUUUUUUUUUUUUGAGACGGAGUCUUGCUCUGUCACCCAGGCUGCUGGAGUGCAGUGGCAUGAUCUCGGCUCACGGCAACCUCUGCCUCCCGGGUUCAAGCGACUCUCCUGCCUCAUCCUCCCGAGUAGCUGGGAUUACAGGUGCCCACCAUCACACCCAGCUAAUUUUCUUGUAUUUUUAGUAGAGAUGGUUUUCACCAUGUUGGCUAGAUGGGUCUCGAACUUCUGACCUCAGGUGAUCCGCCCGACUCGGCCUCCCCUUCCAAGGUGCUGGGAUUACAGGCAUGAGCCACCGCUCCUGGCCAGUUUAGUUUUCACACUAAGCUUUUUGUUCUGCAGGUUGCCCCCAAGUUUCCUGGCAGUGUGUGAUACUGAGGAGGUGAGCUUGUUUCUGGAGCUGUGCUUUAAGGUAAAGUUGAUCAGCUUAAUCCUCCUGAUCCCUUUCCCAUCGGAUCUGAACACUGGUCUUGGUGGUCGUAAAAGGAGGAAAAGUAAUAGUGAAGCUGGCCUAAAUGUUGUAAUCUGGUAUAUGGCAUGUGGGCUAGUUUCAGACAGGUUCAGAGAUGGUUGGAUCUCUGAAAUUGUAAAAUGAAGUAUAAUCUUAGGCUAAGGGAAGGAUGCGUGUGAAGUUCUGGAGGUUGGUAUGAUAAUAGCUGACCUAUUACUGCAUUUGGGAGGGAUCUGUCAUAGCUUCCUUGCCUCUUAAUUAAGGGUGGUGUUUUUUUCUUUUAGAUUCAUGUUACAUGUAAAGCUGUCCUCAUUUGUGACUAUGGACCUAUGGAGUUGGGACAAUCUCUAUGGGAAGCAGAAGGCAAGGACCCCAGUCAUUUUAGGUAGAAACAACAGCAUGCUAAUGCAAAAAAUUAUGCAGUGUGCUACUGAACUUCAGAGGUGAUCAAUAAAAGAAUAAAAAGACUAAUAAAAGUA